rnacentral:lncRNA from 1 species
GGCGGGGUUAAACAUGUUUGUGAGAUCUCAACCCUCCCCCUAUACCUCUAACCAAUGAAGAAAAGUAAACGCAUAACAAUACGCACAUUAAAAUUCAGUUCAAGAGAAGUCCGAGUCUGAUGUCAGAAGAUGUAACCAAAGAAAAUAAACAAAAUGACAAUAAUACAUAAAUAACAACAGACUACUAGCAGUUAACUGACAUGCCAGCUCCAGACGUCAAUUAAUUUGACUGAAAGAUUAUGAUUUCAUCAUAUCAACAUCAGGCACAAUCCUUCCCAUUAGGGGUUUAGUAUCAUACCAUCAUAACAUAUAUGAGAAGAACAUAACCCGUGUCAUGCCAACAACUGUUUUUAGAAUUAAUGUGUUUAGUUCCGACGCAAAGACCUUAUCAGUGACUCAAUAUUAACGCCAAAAUAUGCAAUCUUUAAUGACUUGACAACAGUAUCGUAAUUGUAUCCC